UAUUGCUCCGAUUUACAUGUGUAGAAAUUUUUCUAAAAGGAAAUCGGACUGGGGUGAUACUUUAAGGACGUCAUUUUUUUAUUUAUCCAGGAGUAUUUCCAAUAAAUAGGAAACAUCGGGAAAAAACAUGAGAAAACGGGAAAAUAAGUACAAUAUUAAACAAAUAUUAUUAAAGAAAAUGUAUAAUGUCUAUGUGAUUAAUUUACCAUAAUAUGAUAUAUUAUCUAUUGUUAACAAAGCAACACUAUCAACUGAACUCCGCUCAGAAUCGUUUUUUCGUUAGCAAUGGUUUAUCGUUGCUUACAGAUACACAUCCAAUUUCCACUUUACUGCCUUUCCAACUUCACACCUACAACAGCAGCCUACCCACGUGCAAAGUAGGCCCGUCUUUUUUUUUUUCUUACUAAGGUAAUCCAUUAAAGUAAAUAAAUAAUUUAAUAAUAUCUAAAAUUAAAAUUCGUAGGAUAUGUUUCAAUUUGUGGGGGAGGGGAAUUUCAACAUCUAUAAACCUUUUCCGGAUAACGCGGAUCAACCGUGUAAAAAUUGGUCCAGUAGUUUCGGAGCAAACCCGUAACAAUGAUUUCCAUUUUCCAUUUAUACGCGUACAUAUACAUAGAUAUUG